AACGAACGCUGGCGGCGUGCUUAACACAUGCAAGUCGAACGGGCUCUUCGGAGUUAGUGGCGGACGGGUGAGUAAUACGUAGAUAAUCUGCCUUCAAGUGGGGGAUAACUAAGCGAAAGUUUAGCUAAUACCGCAUAAUGUAGUUAGUUGAAAUACUAAUUAAGAAAGGAUUUAUUCGCUUUUAGAGGGGUCUAUGGUUGAUUAGCUAGUUGGUGAGGUAAUGGCUCACCAAGGCGACGAUCAAUAGCUGGUCUGAGAGGACGAUCAGCCACACUGGGACUGAGACACGGCCCAGACUUCUACGGAAGGCAGCAGUGGGGAAUUUUCCGCAAUGGGCGAAAGCCUGACGGAGCGACGCCGCGUGGAGGAUGAAGUUUUUAGGAAUGUAAACUCCUUUCAGCAGGGACGAAAACAAUGACGGUACCUGCAGAAGAAGCAUCGGCUAACUACGUGCCAGCCGCCGCGGUAA
rnacentral:rRNA from 1 species